AUGAUUGUGGCGGUAGGCUGGUAGCCAUGGAUUUCCAGCGGAUGAAUGGGUGUCGUUGUCGUCUACCUCUCUCCCAAAACUACCCAGAAAGCUCAUAUGGAGGCUGAACUUGUUGAGUUGUCUAAGACUCCUAAAACAGAACACUCCUAAGCAAGCUUCGACUCCCCGAUCUUCGCUGACGGGUUUAUAGAGCUGGCAGGCUUAGAUGAAGGCUAUUACGGGUGUCUCAUGAUCCGACAAUCAUGUAUAUUUAGUAUAGAAGAAGAAUUAAGAAAACAGUAUGGUCUAUGUCAAUGUUCCUGUUUCUCCCGGCAUUCCAUAUGAUCCUAUUUGACAUUGGUACAUAGGGAAUGAAGGUUCUCACUUGAGGAAAUUACUGUAGGUACGGUGGGAGGGUUAGGAUUUGGGAAUAUUGAAGAUGGGUCAGUCAAAGGGAAGUAAUUUGUGGUUUUGACGCUUUUCCAGCUGUGUACUGAGAGUGGGGAAUACAGGGUUGGAAGUCAGAGAAGGAGUGAAAUGGUGCUUUGUUAAUCUAUAAUUCUGUAUAAAAUUUGGAUAAGAGAAAUGAUGCUCAUGCUAGUUAAUUUGCUUAGAACUUGAGAGGUGCAGUGGUGUUCAUAUCGGAUAUUGUUUACAGUUGCAUACUUGAAUAGUUAAGUUGGUGCACGUACUGGUUGAAUUAAAGAUGGUUUAUUUGGAACCAGGUGGAUUGAGGCCAUUAGUAUAGAGAAUUAUAAAUCAUGUACGUUUUCUUGUAUUUUGCAGUUCUGAGUAUUGAUGCUGCAUGUUAA